CCUACGGGAGGCAGCAGUGAGGAAUAUUGGUCAAUGGACGAGAGUCUGAACCAGCCAAGUAGCGUGAAGGAUGACUGCCCUAUGGGUUGUAAACUUCUUUUAUAAAGGAAUAAAACGAGGCACGUGUGCCUUUUUGCAUGUACUUUAUGAAUAAGGAUCGGCUAACUCCGUGCCAGCAGCCGCGGUAAUACGGAGGAUCCGAGCGUUAUCCGGCUUUAUUGGGUUUAAAGGGAGCGUAGAUGGUUUGUUAAGUCAGUUGUGAAAGUUUGCGGCUCAACCGUAAAAUUGCAAUUGAUACUGGCAUUCUUGAGUACAGUUGAGGUAGGCGGAAUGCGUGGUGUAGCGGUGAAAUGCUUAGAUAUCACGAAGAACCCCGAUUGCGAAGGCAGCUUACUAAACUGUGACUGACAUUGAUGCUCGAAAGUGUGGGUAUCAAACAGGAUUAGAUACCCGGGUAGUC
rnacentral:rRNA from 1 species